rnacentral:rRNA from 1 species
AACGAACGCUGGCGGCAUGCCUAACACAUGCAAGUCGAACGAUGCCUUCGGGCAUAGUGGCGCACGGGUGCGUAACGCGUGGGAAUCUGCCCUUGGCUUCGGAAUAACAGUUAGAAAUGACUGCUAAUACCGGAUGAUGUCCCCCUGAGAGAUCUUGGGGACCAAAGAUUUAUCGGCCAGGGAUGAGCCCGCGUAGGAUUAGGUAGUUGGUGGGGUAAAGGCCUACCAAGCCGACGAUCCUUAGCUGGUCUGAGAGGAUGAUCAGCCACACUGGGACUGAGACACGGCCCAGACUCCUACGGGAGGCAGCAGUGGGGAAUAUUGGACAAUGGGGGGAACCCUGAUCCAGCAAUGCCGCGUGAGUGAUGAAGGCCUUAGGGUUGUAAAGCUCUUUUACCAGGGAUGAUAUUGACAGUACCUGGAGAAUAAGCUCCGGCUAACUCCGUG